UACGAAGGGGGCUAGCGUUGCUCGGAAUCACUGGGCGUAAAGCGCACGUAGGCGGACUCUUAAGUCAGGGGUGAAAUCCUGGAGCUCAACUCCAGAACUGCCUUUGAUACUGAGGAUCUUGAGUUCGGGAGAGGUGAGUGGAACUGCAAGUGUAGAGGUGAAAUUCGUAGAUAUUCGCAAGAACACCAGUGGCGAAGGCGGCUCACUGGCCCGAUACUGACGCUGAGGCACGAAAGCGUGGGGAGCAAACAGG
rnacentral:rRNA from 1 species